CCCGAGGAAAAGAAAUCAACCGAGAUUCCCCCAGUAGCGGCGAGCGAACGGGGAGGAGCCCAGAGCCUGAAUCAGCAUGUGUGUUAGUGGAAGCGUCUGGAAAGGCGCGCGAUACAGGGUGACAGCCCCGUACACAAAAGCGCAUGUGCUGUGAGCUCGAUGAGUAGGGCGGGACACGUGGUAUCCUGUCUGAAUAUGGGGGGACCAUCCUCCAAGGCUAAAUACUCCUGACUGACCGAUAGUGAACCAGUACCGUGAGGGAAAGGCGAAAAGAACCCCGGCGAGGGGAGUGAAAAAGAACCUGAAACCGUGUACGUACAAGCAGUGGGAGCACAGGUUUACCUGUGUGACUGCGUACCUUUUGUAUAAUGGGUCAGCGACUUAUAUUCUGUAGCAAGGUUAACCGUAUAGGGGAGCCGGAGGGAAACCGAGUCUUAACCGGGCGUUAAGUUGCAGGGUAUAGACCCGAAACCCGGUGAUCUAGCCAUGGGCAGGUUGAAGGUUGGGUAACACUAACUGGAGGACCGAACCGACUAAUGUUGAAAAAUUAGCGGAUGACCUGUGGCUGGGGGUGAAAGGCCAAUCAAACCGGGAGAUAGCUGGUUCUCCCCGAAAGCUAUUUAGGUAGCGCCUCGUGAAUUCAUCUCCGGGGGUAGAGCACUGUUUCGGCUAGGGGGCCAUCCCGGCUUACCAACCCGAUGCAAACUGCGAAUACCGGAGAAUGUUAUCACGGGAGACACACGGCGGGUGCUAACGUCCGUCGUGAAGAGGGAAACAACCCAGACCGCCAGCUAAGGUCCCAAAGUCAUGGUUAAGUGGGAAACGAUGUGGGAAGGCCCAGACAGCCAGGAUGUUGGCUUAGAAGCAGCCAUCAUUUAAAGAAAGCGUAAUAGCUCACUGGUCGAGUCGGCCUGCGCGGAAGAUGUAACGGGGCUAAACCAUGCACCGAAGCUGCGGCAGCGACACUCAGGUGUUGUUGGGUAGGGGAGCGUUCUGUAAGCCUGUGAAGGUGGCCUGUGAGGGUUGCUGGAGGUAUCAGAAGUGCGAAUGCUGACAUAAGUAACGAUAAAGCGGGUGAAAAGCCCGCUCGCCGGAAGACCAAGGGUUCCUGUCCAACGUUAAUCGGGGCAGGGUGAGUCGACCCCUAAGGCGAGGCCGAAAGGCGUAGUCGAUGGGAAACGGGUUAAUAUUCCCGUACUUGGUGUUACUGCGAAGGGGGGACGGAGAAGGCUAUGUUGGCCGGGCGACGGUUGUCCCGGUUUAAGCGUGUAGGUGUGUGUUCCAGGUAAAUCCGGUUCACUUUAACACUGAGGCGUGACGACGAGGCACUACGGUGCUGAAGCAACAAAUGCCCUGCUUCCAGGAAAAGCCUCUAAGCAUCAGGUAACAUCAAAUCGUACCCCAAACCGACACAGGUGGUCAGGUAGAGAAUACCAAGGCGCUUGAGAGAACUCGGGUGAAGGAACUAGGCAAAAUGGUGCCGUAACUUCGGGAGAAGGCACGCUGACACGUAGGUGAAGUGAUUUACUCAUGGAGCUGAAGUCAGUCGAAGAUACCAGCUGGCUGCAACUGUUUAUUAAAAACACAGCACUGUGCAAACACGAAAGUGGACGUAUACGGUGUGACGCCUGCCCGGUGCCGGAAGGUUAAUUGAUGGGGUCAGCGCAAGCGAAGCUCCUGAUCGAAGCCCCGGUAAACGGCGGCCGUAACUAUAACGGUCCUAAGGUAGCGAAAUUCCUUGUCGGGUAAGUUCCGACCUGCACGAAUGGCGUAAUGAUGGCCAGGCUGUCUCCACCCGAGACUCAGUGAAAUUGAACUCGCUGUGAAGAUGCAGUGUACCCGCGGCAAGACGGAAAGACCCCGUGAACCUUUACUAUAGCUUGACACUGAACAUUGAGCCUUGAUGUGUAGGAUAGGUGGGAGGCUUUGAAGUGUGGACGCCAGUCUGCAUGGAGCCGACCUUGAAAUACCACCCUUUAAUGUUUGAUGUUCUAACGUGGACCCGUUACCCGGGUUGCGGACAGUGUCUGGUGGGUAGUUUGACUGGGGCGGUCUCCUCCUAAAGAGUAACGGAGGAGCACGAAGGUUGGCUAAUCCUGGUCGGACAUCAGGAGGUUAGUGCAAUGGCAUAAGCCAGCUUGACUGCGAGCGUGACGGCGCGAGCAGGUGCGAAAGCAGGUCAUAGUGAUCCGGUGGUUCUGAAUGGAAGGGCCAUCGCUCAACGGAUAAAAGGUACUCCGGGGAUAACAGGCUGAUACCGCCCAAGAGUUCAUAUCGACGGCGGUGUUUGGCACCUCGAUGUCGGCUCAUCACAUCCUGGGGCUGAAGUAGGUCCCAAGGGUAUGGCUGUUCGCCAUUUAAAGUGGUACGCGAGCUGGGUUUAGAACGUCGUGAGACAGUUCGGUCCCUAUCUGCCGUGGGCGCUGGAGAACUGAGGGGGGCUGCUCCUAGUACGAGAGGACCGGAGUGGACGCAUCACUGGUGUUCGGGUUGUCAUGCCAAUGGCACUGCCCGGUAGCUAAAUGCGGAAGAGAUAAGUGCUGAAAGCAUCUAAGCACGAAACUUGCCCCGA
rnacentral:rRNA from 1 species